CGUUAACCCGUACUAAGGCUAGGGUGGCUGAGUGUAAAUACAUGGCUCUGAGUGUAAGCACCUUUUCACAAGAAACUUUCUUGUGUUCAAAUGACCGUCAGUGCGAAAUAGCUAGAAAGCUUUCGUAUUUCAACUUGGCUGCACCUACGGUUAUGAGAACGAUCAAUCAUGUGUACUACCUGCGUCGACCUGUGACUGGCAGAAAAAAACGGAAAGUGUCUAGGCUACCGGAAUGUUACAAGAACAAGGAUGGUUACAUGACAUUCGGCCAUGUGACAUUUGUUGUUUAUAGAUUUUUCGCCCACACAUCGACCCUGGACAGAUAACAGAAGGUGAGAGGGACCCUAGGAGGGACGUAAAGGAGUUGAUGAAAUCCUGUUAAGACAGACAAUCAGAUGGUAUGGCCUCUGAAGACCCCCAAGACCAACUGGAUGAGGCUAUUAAAAAGGCAGAACGCCUUGCCGAGGAGCUCAACCAAGAAAAGGACCCACAAGCCCAACUGGACGAGGCCAUUAACGAGGCAAAAAGACUGGCUGAGGAGCUCAACCCAGAACGGGAAAAUAAGAAGAACAAGACAAACAAGCCUCCAUGGAUUAGGUUCAGAUGGAGACAAAGGGAUGAGAGAGGACAGAUUGUUCCUCAAACCAGGAAGGCAACUAAAUCCACUUCUCUUGCUCCAAGGGCCAGUACAUCAAGAGCCAGACUAGUGCAACCUUCUGGACCAGUCACUGAGGAGGAAGAAUCAGAGACAAGGACCAGUGGAUUGGAAUCCACUCCAGUUUUAAACAUUGAUGAAGAAAUAGCUAUACUUUAUAGAGAAAUGAACAUCCUCCUAGCUGACUUAGAAGACCCUGAGUGUUCAAAUCCUGCUGUGCCUGGUGCAUCACACAGUUGGAGUGUGAGGAAGGAACUCUCACAGGAGGGAGUCCAGGCCUGAGAUUGUAGAUUCUCUGCUGGCUGCAGAGCAUGUUUCUCAGAAGAUCUGUCAGUCAUGCAAUGUGAAAAGGGCUAUUCUGCGAUGUAGAGACUCUGCCGAAACAGCUUUACUGCGAAGACUGCGAUGUCUCUACACAUGCAAUGUUCCCCCUGCACAACAGAGAGUCCAUGAUCGAGGGGUUCUACACGCCCCUUCCUCCAACUACAGCCAUAUCGCUCUCCACAGUGAUGGCAAAUAUACACUUCAUGAACAGGAUUGUUUCUUACCAUUGGAUGUACCAGAGGUGAUAUGUGGUUGCCUGACAAGCACCAUCCAUGUUGGCCCUGGGAAACAUAUAAUACUCGUAGGAAUAAAUGGUCGCUACAAUGUCACAGUGCCUGUGCUUACCUGCACAACCUGUCUUAGCACCUGGACAGCAAACUUGGCAGAUCUGAUAAAGAAUGGGUACUGUGACACCAUAUACCAGGUAGAUGUGUUCAGCUCUUUUGAGGAGCUGGAAGUGUCAGCCCCAGGAAUGUCCCGUCUGGCGUUUUAUGCGGAUUUUGGAGCAGCGAACUGACUCCUUUGGCAGGAACGGAAUGAUCUGUGGGGACACUUUUCAAAAAAGCUUCUUUGAGUGGACGUACUGCCGCUCUGAAAUGGAUUAGGUCUGUGAUAUACAGGACUUUGACUGCCCAGCCUGGUCUGUGAUAUACAGGACUUUGACUGCCCAGCCUGGUCUGUGAUAUACAGGACUUUGACUGCCCAGCCUGGUCUGUGAUAUACAGGACUUUGACUGCCCAGCCUGGUCUGUGAUAUACAGGACUUUGACUGCCCAGCCUGGUCUGUGAUAUACAGGACUUUGACUGCCCAGCCUGGUCUGUGAUAUACAGGACUUUGACUGCCCAGGCUGGUCUGUGAUAUACAGGACUUUGACUGCCCAGCCUGUUCACCCAGCAUGCUUGCAGUGUCAGUGGACGGGAACAAGAAGCUGUAUAGCUGUAUCGAUUCAAAAAAGGGUUAUGGAAAAGGAGUAUGUGGAGCAUCCCAGUGGACAGCAGCUAAAGAGUCAUCAAGGAAAACAAACGACAAACUUGAUGAAGAGGGACUCGAAGUAGCCGUCUCUCGCCAUGGAAUACUUCUAAGGAGCCUCAACAUGAUGCGUGGAGAGAUAUUUGCAUAUCCACUGUUCUUGCAGAAGGAAUUGUCUGGCAGCAGGAACAUACAAUUCAUGUGUAUGUGAUCUGCAAAUUUUGGCCAUACCUGACCAAAGUUGCCCUUCAUUGUCCAGAGCUCGCCACUCUUCUAGACAUGAAGCCACUUUCUGUCAUGCAAAGGCACAUCGUUUGAAAUGCGAGGUCAGUGUUUCUUUAUUAAACUGUUCAAAGAGAAUUUCCAGCUUCAGUCCUUUACAAGGCUUCCCAUUUAGAUGUUUGUUAUUCACAGAAUUGCAAUAUCAAGUCUAUAUUUAAAAAAAAAAGUAAAUUAAGAUUAAGUGGGGAGGACAGAAUCAGGAAGGAGCUGGCACAACUCUGGGGGAGGAAGUGGAACAAGGGAACAGCUUCUUAUCGAGGGCUGCAAUCUGUUCCAAGCAAAUGUCCAAAGGAGGUAAACAUUUUGUUUAAGGUUGUUCUAUUCAGCUAUGUUAAUACUUAUCUGGAAUAAGGAGUUCUAUUUGGCAUUUCUAGUAAGAACAGACAUGCUAACCAUCCAGGCUAUGGGGUGGAACAGAAGGAAGAAAAAACCUGCACAAAGUAUUGUCCAGAAGAUACUUGAAGGUGUAUUGUGUGGAUCAAUACAUUUAUUUUAGAAGUAUUAUAUCUAUGGAUUUAAUUUAUUUAAAAACAAUUAGUUAUUCUGUUUAGUUUUUGUCAUAAUUCUCAGACAACAGCAAAAAUCCAGGAGGAGACCCAGACUCUCAAAGUUUAAGAGUGAUUUGGGUGUUAGGCGAUGAGACUCUGUACAACAGAAGUUCAACAAUGGGAUAAUACAGGUAAAUGAAUACAAAAUAUAAAUAAUCCUAAAUGUAACUCUCCUGGACUGUCACCUUGACGUAGUGGAGAGGCUUGUGUACGCCAAUGACUCAGAGCUAACCCUCAGAGGGUGUAUUCCACCGACACGUGCAAUCAAGCCGGACGGGUAGGAGGCAGACUAAACAUUCCCUGGUUAUCCAGGUUGGGGCUCAUUCACCGCCCACAUAACAAGUCAUUUGUUACAGAAACCUUCACAGGCCCUAUGUUCCUCCAAGAAGUGAGUGCAUCUUUUCAGCGUUGGAGAUACAUUGUUAAUUUAUAGAUGUACUGUAUUUCAGAGGAUACAAAUGAUAACAUGGGACGGUCCCCAGGUACUACAGAGAACAAUGUAAGUCCUGUUAGCAUCAAACAAAGGAAACAGAACCUCUAUUUCCUGAAUAUUGAAUUGCACACACUUCAUUUCUCGUUAAUUUCAAAGCCAUGCAAUGUAGCAAAUAAUUUAAUUCUCCUUUUGUUUUGAUGAGAUGGAUGUUUUGUUAUCCGUGUUUGUUCAGUUGCGUAAACACAGACAGCACUUGUGAAUUUACAGCUGACCUACUCACAAAGACAAUAGCCUUUGACCGGGUGAUGCUCCUGAGACGGCUGAAGGAGGAGGAGUUAAUUGUCCUAAAGGAAGUCUAGCAGCACUGGGAAAGCCUAAAGAGGGAAUUGGAGAAUGUGCAAGACCUUGCUUCACAUGUGGCACUUGACCUAAGCAGGCAAAGCUGGCAAUUGAAUCAGUCGGAAGCUGGGAGCAGAGGUCUCUUCUCCAUGCUUCAGAGGAGAGUCAGCAGCCUCAGAAGACACCAGGACUCUGUCAAACUGAUAUACAGCAAAGCUAUGGGCCAAGACACCUCCCUCCUAGAAAAUAACUUCAUAGAUGACCUCCUGGAAGAGGACCUAGAUGACAUCUAUGACAGCAUCCACUACAGCUCUGACGAGGAAUCUAUCACAGACUGAAGGUGUUCGUUUGGGUGGGUGCAGUUUGCACGGGGUAAAAAGUGAUUCCAUUUGUUUUGCAUAUGUGCUUUAUCUGCCUUCCUAAGGAAAAAUAGUUUGAACACUUUAUGGAAAAUAAUGUUUAUUCCUUGUUGACAAUGUGAUCAUGUGGCACAGAUUUGAGAAGGGCGCUCGUCUGUUACUGCUUUUGCCCGGUUACAUGACCAGGUCCGAUGCACCCCUUUAAAAUGGCCAAUCUGCAGUUGCUACAUCCACUUUUGGAUUCUUUAAGAAUAUAAUUUAUAAAUGCCUCAUGAAUAUAGUUCACCUGCCGUACCCCGUCAGAUCCCAAAAUAUAUAUUUUUUUCUACUCGAAUGUUUGACUUUGUUUACAAUGUAAACAUACGAGCGUGUGUCAAAACUCAUUCCACGGGUGAGCCGAGUGUCUGCGCUCCUCCCAUAAUUGAUUAAUUAAGGUCACUAAUUAGUAAGGAACUCCCCUCACCUGGUUGGUUAGGUCUUAAUUGAAAGGAAAAAACAAAAACCAGCAGACACUAGGCUCUCCAUGGAAUGAGAUUGACACCACUGGACUAUAGCCGCGAAACAUGGUUUAAACUAUGGUUACAUUUCUCCAUCCCCAUCCCUCUGCUUUUUACAGAACCACUGGUGGGGAGAACGAUUUAUUGUUUCACCUGGUGAUUUCCGAUUUAAACAUUGUUAAAGUCCCUCUGUUGCCAUUGAUUUAGCUUCUUCUGGGGUCUUCUUUUACUGGAAUACCAUAAUAUGAAGGUGUCACACAAUCUUUGACAGCUAUGAGUUCACAUUAAUGUUAAGAUAUAGACCAGACGCUUUGGAAAAGGAUUGUAUCACAUUGAUCGAUAUGGGAAUUUGGUUAGCGUCUUUCAGAUAGUGUAGAAUCUGCCAGCUGGCUUAUAAUGAUUUCUUUACCAGCUAUGGAAAUACCUUGUACAGGACAUUUAUUUAAAGAAUUUGCAAGAAGUUGGGUGAUUAAUAAAACAGGUACGGAGAGAGGACAACUUUGCCUAAUUCCUCUCUUUAACUCAAA